GAUUAGUGGCGAACGGGUGAGUAACACGUGGGCAAUCUGCCCUUCACUCUGGGACAAGCCCUGGAAACGGGGUCUAAUACCGGAUAACACUCCUGCCUGCAUGGGCGGGGGUUAAAAGCUCCGGCGGUGAAGGAUGAGCCCGCGGCCUAUCAGCUUGUUGGUGGGGUAAUGGCCCACCAAGGCGACGACGGGUAGCCGGCCUGAGAGGGCGACCGGCCACACUGGGACUGAGACACGGCCCAGACUCCUACGGGAGGCAGCAGUGGGGAAUAUUGCACAAUGGGCGAAAGCCUGAUGCAGCGACGCCGCGUGAGGGAUGACGGCCUUCGGGUUGUAAACCUCUUUCAGCAGGGAAGAAGCGAAAGUGACGGUACCUGCAGAAGAAGCGCCGGCUAACUACGUGCCAGCAGCCGCGGUAAUACGUAGGGCGCAAGCGUUGUCCGGAAUUAUUGGGCGUAAAGAGCUCGUAGGCGGCUUGUCACGUCGGAUGUGAAAGCCCGAGGCUUAACCUCGGGUCUGCAUUCGAUACGGGCUAGCUAGAGUGUGGUAGGGGAGAUCGGAAUUCCUGGUGUAGCGGUGAAAUGCGCAGAUAUCAGGAGGAACACCGGUGGCGAAGGCGGAUCUCUGGGCCAUUACUGACGCUGAGGAGCGAAAGCGUGGGGAGCGAACAGGAUUAGAUACCCUGGUAGUCCACGCCGUAAACGUUGGGAACUAGGUGUUGGCGA
rnacentral:rRNA from 1 species